UAUUUUGGUUUGGUUGAGACUUAGGGUGGUUCUCAAUUGAGUAAGUUAGAAAUUGUUACUAUGGACAAUUUUUUUUGUAAUGUUGUCCGCUGAAUCUCCGAAUCGAGCAAAAGUGUGAAAAGAACGAUGUUUGGUAACUUGGAUUUCUUUGUAAAUUAAUUAAAUAGACCCUGAGAAACUCAAAAUAUGGCCAUUUUUUAGGAGAUUUUUCCGAUGAGCUUUUCCGAAAAAAUAUUCGAAUUACGAGAAUUCGUGUGCAGUCUAUACUCGAUUAUUCGAAAGUUCAUUUGGACCUUCGGAUAAUCGAGUCAUGCGUUCACUCAGCCAAAACAACUUCUAAAACAUAUAUGGCCAGCCAUAUAACCAGUCGAGAAAUCAUUAGUUUUUGAAUUCAUAGGGCGACCUUAUACAUAUUCGCAUAAGCUUUCAAUUUUAUAAGGUAUGCUUAUGACUUUCAUACACAUUGUUGAUGUGAAAAAAUCAUAAUCUUGCCAUAUAAAAUCAAACGUCAAGAUGGCCGUUUCGUACGACGAGCUGACACUCAUCGCUGAGCUUUUCGGUGACGCGGCGGAAUCAGGACGUGUUUUCUCGCAGUUCGGCCUAACUACAGUUGAUUUGGUGACUAUUGGCCAGACGGCAUUCGAAAAGCGCCUCGGAUUGCUUCUCCCGGAAACAAUUAGUUUGUUUUGGGAAGCAAUUGUUCGUUGGAGAAUCCGGAAUAACAGGAGCAGUUCGAAACAAACCCAACCCAAGAUCCAGCCCCACCGGAAGAGGAUUAUAUUGAGGUUAAGUUCAUUCCGGACCGUGAAACAGGAUCUGAAUCGGUCGAGAGCGAUCCAGACGACGAGGAAGUGAAUCCGGGCGCCUUAGAAACGAGUUCCUUGGAAGAGCCUAAAAUCAUUAUCCAGUCUCACCAUGGUUCUGGGACACUUCAACCGAGGACGUCGCUUCAACGGUCCGCUGAAUUCGACAGCACUGCUGCAGGCAGCAAAGUAGUGAUUGCAGCCAGUACGCCCCAAGCGGCCAGUACACCCCGAGCGGCCGGCACGUCCCAAGAGACGCAUCCGCUUUCUAAGCCGGGUUAAGACCUCGUCGUGGAGACGGUAGGUGACUACCACAUCAAGAGUGGUCGACGAUGCCGCGCCGAGUUUCUUGAAAAUUACAGCGAAAUUAUUCUCGCUGUGUUCCUGAAGGAAGUGAAGGAGACGUACUACAUUCCGAGAAUCAAAAAGUAGAAUCCGAAGGGGAAGCUGUUCAGCUUCAUCAACAAAAAAUCAAAUCAAAUUAUUCGCUCUACAGCAUAGCCUUGGCGUUCUCGAUUGCGAGAUUCCUACUCGAAACUUAGUGUCCAAAGGCUUGAUUGUUGAGGCAAUUGCAAACCUCUUUUUACACCUAAGCUUCCAUCCACCCCGGGAUUCGAACUGACGACCUUUGGAUUGUGAGUCCAACUGCCUACCAGCGACUCCACCGAGACAGGACCCAGGGAGACGACUCCUACACCUGGACUGAGCUAACGACCUAACCUUUUUUAGGUUAGUCCGGGACCAACAUUUACUUCCCGUCCGACGGAAGGCGUGAUCAGACAAAUCUCGUCUCGAAAAAAGCCACCGAGACCGUCUGGGAUCGAACCCAGGUCGACUGGGUGAGAGGCAAUCACGCUAACCCCUACACCACGGUCCCGGCAUCAACAACAAGACCCAGAAAACAAGGAGCAGGAACACACGCGCAUCAGCCCAACGGAAACUCCAGCCGAAGACCCGCAGGUGGGUGCGGCGAUAUCGUGGCUCGGCAUCAACACUUCACCAUGGGCAACUGUGCUAGCGCAAUGGCCAGCUUCCCUGCUAGAAAACAUCUGUUGAAGAACAUCAACAAGUCCGACCAAGUUAUCAGCAGCUACCCCCAGCUGCGACUGGAAUAUGAAUAUCAACUUGUAAGUGAAAGAUCGGAUUG